UCUAUCACUGCGGUCUCUCUCUCUCUAAACCCUACAAAAUCAUGGUGGUAUCUCUUCACUUUGCGUUGUCUCUCUUAUAAAUUGACGGUGACAGUUACGGUGACUGUAACGGCAACGGUAACAACGAUGGAACAAUCAUCUCUUCUAGCUAGUCAGCAAAAGAAAAAUGGGUGUCUUAUUCCCAGCAUUCUUCUCAACACAAGUUUCUCUACACUUGAUAAGAAAAGCAUACUUAAGGCAGAAGCCAAAAAG